ACGGAGCGCGUCCGAAGCAGCCCCCUGUUCAACGUCAUUCGUCUUUGUUUGUGUUGCUUUGUCAGGUGCCCGUGCUGUCGCUUGGCAAGAAUCAGAAGUUGAAAACAAACUGAAGCAAGCGGGAGCACGGGCGCAGCUGGGAACGAGAAUCCGUUCCAGCUGUGAAAAGACACCGAAGUUCUUUUUAGCGUACGGAAAAUGGAAGGAAGUUUCUUUUCGUUCAGCUCAGAAAACUGGUGCCCGUCACUCUUUAGCCGCUCGUUUCAACACUAAAAAGAACUUCGAUAAGACUGGCCGAAGUUCGGGGGCCUACGACCACGAUCGGAAGCGGGAAAGGCGCGGCGACAGUGGCACGAGGACGUCUUUUUGACCGGAGCGGUUGCUGAAGAGCUGCAAUCACUGAAGGCUGGUGCAAUGGCUGUCGAAACGAGGUGACAAAAUGGAGUCGGUGAGGCAAGGACUUGCAAAGGGGGUUGUGACAAAGUGAUCACCCGUGGCCCAUAAAUAGAGCCAAAAGUGGUCGGGCACGGGUGUGAGACGGAGGUCAACAGACGACCCCGCAACGAAGAGUGCUCAUCGGCUCCAAGUUGCAGAUGACGUCAGCAGUUCCAAAGGUCAGCACAGCAUCUUCAGGACGCGCCGCGGUGACUAGGCGUAAAACUCCAGCUUUGGCAAGGAAGAAGUUUUACGGGGGGGAGUGUUGCGACGGAGCGCGUCCGAAGCAGCCCCCUGUUCAACGUCAUUCGUCUUUGUUUGUGUUGCUUUGUCAGGUGCCCGUGCUGUCGCUUGGCAAGAAUCAGAAGUUGAAAACAAACUGAAGCAAGCGGGAGCACGGGCGCAGCUGGGAACGAGAAUCCGUUCCAGCUGUGAAAAGACACCGAAGUUCUUUUUAGCGUACGGAAAAUGGAAGGAAGUUUCUUUUCGUUCAGCUCAGAAAACUGGUGCCCGUCACUCUUUAGCC